rnacentral:rRNA from 1 species
UAGGGAAUCUUCGGCAAUGGACGAAAGUCUGACCGAGCAACGCCGCGUGAGUGAAGAAGGUUUUCGGAUCGUAAAACUCUGUUGUUAGAGAAGAACAAGGACGUUAGUAACUGAACGUCCCCUGACGGUAUCUAACCAGAAAGCCACGGCUAACUACGUGCCAGCAGCCGCGGUAAUACGUAGGUGGCAAGCGUUGUCCGGAUUUAUUGGGCGUAAAGCGAGCGCAGGCGGUUUCUUAAGUGUGAUGUGAAAGCCCCCGGCUCAACCGGGGAGGGUCAUUGGAAACUGGGAGACUUGAGUGCAGAAGAGGAGAGUGGAAUUCCAUGUGUAGCGGUGAAAUGCGUAGAUAUAUGGAGGAACACCAGUGGCGAAGGCGGCUCUCUGGUCUGUAACUGACGCUGAGGCUCGAAAGCGUGGGGAGCAAACAGG